rnacentral:rRNA from 1 species
UGAGGGAUAUUGGUCAAUGGGCGGGAGCCUGAACCAGCCAAGCCGCGUGAGGGAUGAAGGCCCUAUGGGUCGUAAACCUCUUUUGUCAGGGAACAAAAGCGAGUAUGUAUACUAGUCUGAGUGUACCUGAAGAAAAACGCAUCGGCUAACUCCGUGCCAGCAGCCGCGGUAAUACGGAGGAUGCGAGCGUUAUCCGGAUUUAUUGGGUUUAAAGGGUGCGUAGGCGGCGGUGCAAGUCAGCGGUAAAAGCCCGGGGCUCAACCCCGGCGAGCCGUUGAAACUGCAGUGCUAGAGAAGGCGAGAGGUACGCGGAAUGCGCAGUGUAGCGGUGAAAUGCUUAGAUAUUGCGCAGAACUCCGAUUGCGAAGGCAGCGUACUGGCGCCUGACUGACGCUGAGGCACGAAAGCGUGGGGAUCGAACAGGAUUAGAUACC